GCUCAUUUUGGCUGGACAUAAGCUGCAAUUGGACAAUACAGAGGAGAUUAGCAUAGCUCCUGCAUGAGGAUGAUAUAGACAUUUACAAAGUGUUCUAUAUUUUU